rnacentral:rRNA from 1 species
GUGGGGAAUCUUGCGCAAUGGGCGAAAGCCUGACGCAGCCAUGCCGCGUGCAGGAAGAAGGCGCUACGCGUUGUAAACUGCUUUUAACCGGGAAGAAACCCCAGGACGUGUCCUGGGUUGACGGUACCGGAGGAAUAAGCACCGGCUAACUUCGUGCCAGCAGCCGCGGUAAUACGAAGGGUGCAAGCGUUAUCCGGAUUCAUUGGGUUUAAAGGGUGCGUAGGCGGAGCGUUAAGUCAGUGGUGAAAUCCUGCAGCUUAACUGUAGACUUGCCAUUGAUACUGGCGCUCUUGAGUGCGCUUGAAGUGGGCGGAAUGUGCCGUGUAGCGGUGAAAUGCUUAGAUAUGGCACAGAACACCAAUUGCGAAGGCAGCUCACUAAGGCGAUACUGACGCUGAGGCACGAAAGCGUGGGGAUCGAACAGGAUUAGAAACCCGGGUAGUCC